UUUCUACCCAGUUAAGAGAUAUGCUAAACAACUAAAGGUUCCAGAAAAACCCCAACUCGAAUCUGGUAUUUCACUGUUACCAUGUACUCUACACUUUCACAAGAAACGGCUACACCCUGAGCUUGGCACAGAUCCUUAUGGAAGAUGAACUUGUCGUCAGAGAAUGGUGGGGGGACAUAUGUUUCAUCCACCACCAAGCUGCUGAAGCAUGGCCUCCUGUUGGCAUAUGAAGAAGUGCAGCACUGGCCGACAGCAGGGUUUAUAGGAGUCUCUUCGUGCCGGAUGCAUAAUUGUCCAAUAAUGAGCUUGCUCAGACACUGUCGAGUGAACUGUUCACACUCCCACCAGCUGUUCCAGAAGGGCAGGAAGCCUGGCCACGUCUAACUAUGUGAGCUGACUUUUCACACCCCCUCCAACUGUAACUGGCCAAAUAACUCUAAGUCACCUCCACAAUGGUUUUUGCCAUUUUCCCUCAGUAGGAACAAGGAGGCCAUUUCAAACAAGGCAGAAACGAGACAGGAUGAGAUGAGACACUCACCGCGCC